CACUGUGCCAGAGUCUCUAGUGCUCAGACAGAGCACUAACAGCGCUGCUGCGGCUGCCGGCUACGGGACUCGGGAGAGGAGGGGACCCACACCCGGACACCAGAAAGGUUAUGCAUUUAGAAGAAAUGGGUGCAGUGCGGUGUGGGCCCCCUCUGGACCUAGGGGCCCGUGUGCACCGCACACACUGCACGCAUUAUAGAUACGCCACUGGUUGUACGCACCGGAGACAGCAUUUCCCACUACCAGCAUCCGGGCACCAGCGGAGGGACUGCUUUGCGGAUAAUAAUGGUGCUGCGCCCAUCCUGCGCAAUCCCAGCUAACAGGACCCAGGAAUAGAAGAGGCGCCUCUCUGCAGAUGACGGCAUGGCCUACUGUCCGGCAGACGAACCCACCCUGACCUCAGCAGCGUUAUCAAUCUGUCACCGGUAAUUUUGAAAGAGCAUAAAAAUCUUUCUGGCCACCU